CGAUGUGGGGAAUAACCCCUCGAAAGAGGAGCUAAUACCGCAUAAGUUCUACAAUGUGGGUUGUAGAAGAAAUGCUUUUCUAUUCGCAAGAGUAGAGGAGUAGCAACAGGAGGGAUCUGCGGCGGAUUAGCUAGAUGGUGGGGUAAAGGCCUACCAUGGCGACGAUCUGUAGCUGGUCUGAGAGGACGACCAGCCACACUGGAACUGAGACACGGUCCAG
rnacentral:rRNA from 1 species